rnacentral:rRNA from 1 species
UGACCUCAACUCAGUCGUGACUACCCGCUGAAUUUAAGCAUAUAAUUAAGCGGAGGAAAAGAAACUAA